GGAGUGUUGAUGCCAUCUUCCCUGCUCUGCCCCUGGGGCAGUCCAUAUAGAUAUUGCUGUGCAUCUUGGUCAGUCAUUAGUGUUCUAGCUGAUCCCUAGACAGUCAUUCUCAUGUGUACCCCUCCCUUCUUGUCAUUACAAAGCAGAAGGGAAUGAUGCACAAAGUUUGCGCAGUAGUUUUGAAUGUGGAAGGGCUAAUCUAAGACCAGAAACAUUUCAUGGAAUGUGCCAGUUCCAAAUGAGGGAAAAUUUAAACCUUCAUUACCCAAGAAUAUAGAUAAGGAACUCACAAGCAAAUAAACACUGAGGCUACAGUCCAGGUAUUUAUGGAAUGUCAAUCCUAUUUGGGGCAAAGAUCUUCUAAGUGGUUAUCCUCCUGAAAAAACACCCAGUCAGAGCUACUAGAAGAAGAAGGCAAAGGUCUUUGCACUGUCAAGGUGCAAAGGGAAGGUGUUGUAGGUAUACCUGUCUUCUUCACAGAGUAUAAGCAUGAGCCUUGAUGUUGAACUUACCUCACUUUUCCAUUGGAGAGAGUUUACAUCCAUUUAAAGUUUCUUGAUGUUUCUGAAAUGGGUCAGAAUUUUG
rnacentral:lncRNA from 1 species